rnacentral:rRNA from 1 species
CACAUGCAAGUCGAACGAUGAAGCCCAGCUUGCUGGGUGGAUUAGUGGCGAACGGGUGAGUAACACGUGAGUAACCUGCCCUUAACUCUGGGAUAAGCCUGGGAAACUAGGUCUAAUACCGGAUAGGAGCGCCUACCGCAUGGUGGGUGUUGGAAAGAUUUAUCGGUUUUGGAUGGACUCGCGGCCUAUCAGCUUGUUGGUGAGGUAAUGGCUCACCAAGGCGACGACGGGUAGCCGGCCUGAGAGGGUGACCGGCCACACUGGGACUGAGACACGGCCCAGACUCCUACGGGAGGCAGCAGUGGGGAAUAUUGCACAAUGGGCGAAAGCCUGAUGCAGCGACGCCGCGUGAGGGAUGACGGCCUUCGGGUUGUAAACCUCUUUCAGUAGGGAAGAAGCGAAAGUGACGGUACCUGCAGAAGAA